GGAGGAGGCCGUCGAUGGACUCUGCGAGUUCAGGCUCCCGGGAGGAGCCAGGAGCGUCGCCGGGAGCGGGGGCACCGGGUAAAACUUGACUUGAAGCCAGUCCUGUCCCUUGCGAGCAACACAACCUCGGGGGUCGCGCUGCAAGAUCUUGGAGACCCCAUCGCGUCCCAGGCGUCAAGGGUCAGCGAGCCAGGGCCUGGUCCAGGAGAGGGACUGGCAAUGGGGCGCUGGAGAUGUCUGGUUCCGGAGGUCAUCACCCCCAGCACGUGGACGCCGGCCUGGGACCACUGACCACGCCCACUGAGAGCAGAAAUCCCAAGGCAAUAUGAAAUACCAUGCUUGUAGAGCUGCUAGAUGGUCUGAACUGGAAUGGGACCAGUCCUGUUGUUUUCCCAUGAAGCAUUGUGCUGGUCAAUGGCCUGGGAUGAGUGCUCCUGCUCUGCUGCCCUCUCCUCGCUGGCCCUAGUGGCCAUCAUUAGCCAUCAGAAGCCAGCAGCUACCUUUAAGGCCCAGAGGCAGCUGUGGACACACCUGACCUGGGAGACUUGGAAUGGAGCUGCCAAGGGCAAUUCCCACACUCAGCUCUCUUCCGCAAGCCUUCUCUUCCCUCUGUUUGGGGCCUGCCGCAGGACAGCCUGUAAGUCCAGCUUUCCCUUCAAAAUGCCCAAACCUACUUGGGCCAGCCAUACCCUUGAUGAAACAGGCUCUCUUCCCACCUCAUCCCUCUGUGGCCAUCGUAGAAAUCCUAAGACAUUGGAGUUGCACACAAACCCUUGGCCACUCAACCUUGGCCUGGAUGGAUGUCCUCACAAAGAAAGUGUCAAAAUUGCUACUGUUUGCCCUGGACACAAAAGACUCAUCCCCCUUUCCUGCCCAAGAGAUUCAGACAGAGAAACCUGCUUCAGGAAGGAGAUCUUAGCAUGUCACUGAGCCUGAUUUGAAUUAAGUAUGGUAAAUAGAGGGCUUCAGACAGGUAGCUAGACAGCCUGUUUCUGAGUCCCCUCGCAAGGAUUUUCCUGCCAUGUGUGUUCAGCUCUCUCUCUCAACUACCUGUAAAUGGCCCAUUCUCACUUCUGACAUCUAAUACCUACCUAUUCCCCUCCUUUCUCCUUUCUCCAAAAUGUGUUAUAUACCAAUGUUGCUUCACUGUCUUUGGACUUUUCAUGCUUAUGGGAAUUCCUCCGGCACACGUAUUAAGACCUUGAUUACCCCCCUUAAUCUGUCUCUGUUAAUUUGAUUAUUAGCCCAGCCAGAAGAACUUAGAAAGCGGGAGGAAAAGUAUUAACAUUUUUUAGCCUCUCUCAACUCUGUGGCUGUUGGGCUUCAGUUCUGUAUCUCUACCUUGAGUUCUGGGCUGAGGUAAGAUAGUGUAACUACCUUGGGGAGGUUAGAGGAGGAGGGAGAGAGAAAAAGGUCAGGAGCCAGGCACAUGGGAGAGUGGAAUGUGGCAGGUUUCAUUGGUUGAGAUGCCAGGACUGGUCCCAGUGGUGGGCUGACUGGGAUCCACGGGGCUGGAUGGAAACCAAAGCAAGGGGCUGGGGGAGACCACACAGGACCACACGAGGGCAGGUUGUGGCAGGUGGAGGGUAGCCCCUUGGCUAAGGUGACCAGAUCGUCCCGCUUUUGGCGGAACAAAACCGAUUUUUAACAAUUUGUCCCGCGUCCCACAGCGUUUUAAAAAGUCCCUAUUUUUGGAAAGAUUCUUUCCAAAAAUAGGGCCUUUUUUAAAACGCCAUGUUGGGGAAGCCCAGGUGCCCAUCGCUCUCAGGAAGGAUCCAGCAGGUUCAGAUACUUUGCGCCCGUCUCUGUAGCCCCUCCCCAUUUUUGCUGGGUUUAAGUGUGGGCAGGUGAUAAGGGUCUGGCCAGUGAGCUAUGGGGUAGGUGUGGGGGAAGAGUGUUGGAGAAAGGGAAGCAUUGCUGAGAACGGUUUCUGCAGAGCCAGGGGAGAAGGUUCCAGGCACAGUGGCAGUUUUCCCCUCAGGCCUGUGGCAGAGGCGUAGGGACCCCUGUGCCUGGGUAUGGGGUCUGCCUGCUGUACCCUGUGACCAGUGCUGUGUUAGGAAGCCCUGGUCCUUGUCUGGGCUCAUUUAGCAAUGGCGUCUGGUGCUGUGGAGGGUCUAGUUAGACUCAAACAGGACUGUCCUGGUUCUGAGGUCAAUCUCGGGAUCGCAGGAUCAGAAUGCUCACAACCCCCCAUGGAAGACCCUUUUGCCUCUGCCGACUGGAGGCCCCAGUCCCACCCCUGGCCAUGUUGCUUCUGUGUCGUUGGGACAGCCCUUGACCAAGGACCCCUCCUUUCAGCGAGACCUGCUCCACUUUGGACGUGUAAACAUGGAAACUUGGGCCACCCGACCCGCUGCCUCACUCAUCACAGUGACACGAUCCCUGGGGCUCCUCUGGCCCCUCGCUCCCCUGGGAGGUCGGGUUUCCAGGGCUGGGCAUCUCAGCCUGCUCUAGCAAGGGGUGCUGAGGUGAUCCUGGCCCCGAGCCUCCUCAAGAUGCCUCCCAUGGUUUGGGGGGGCACGUAGUAUAUGGAAGCCUGUGGCCCUCAAGCCUCUAAGCACUGCAAACCCCAGUUAGCUCUGCCUCCCAUACUGGAUGGCUUGGGCACUGCCCCCAGGUGCACAGUCUGAAUCUCCAAGGCUUCUCACGUAGCAGCCGGCCUGCUCUUUGAGAAGGUCUAAGAAUACAUUCAGUGCAUGCAGUCUACUUCCCAUUGAUAGCAUUGUAAUGAACCCAGUUAUUAAUUAACAGGAAAGGGGCAAAGGGAAAGCCAGAUAAUAUAGGCAGGCCAGUUAUGCAGCUUUGCCAGAAAGCUGCAAUUUAAAUGAUGUUUUAAAAUGUUUUUAUUGAUAUUAGAGAGAGAGGAAGCGAGAGGGAGAGAUAGAAAUAUCGAUGAGAGAGAAAUAUCGAUCGGCUUCCUCCCACAUGUCCCUACUGGGGAUUGAGCUCGCAUCCUGGGCAUGUGCCCUGACCGGGAAUUGAACUGGUGACCUCUUGAUACAUGGGUUGACACUCAACCAUUGAGCCACACUGGCUGGGCCAGAAAGCUGCAAUUUAGAUGCAUACCCAGUAAAGUCUGAGUGAAAUAGAGUGAAAUAGUCACACCUGGGAACAGAUCAUUGGCCAGAGUAGGUGUGGCCACUACAAGUGCGGGAAGAUUUAAGAUACUUAAGUUCCUAAACAAAGGAGUUCUCUCUCUUGCCUCUUGCUCUCACUUGACUCCUGGCCUUUGGGACUCUCACGCUUUGCAUUCCCACACUUGGCUCACGGCCAUGUGGAUCCCCCACACAACAGACUAAGGGACUGCAGCUGGCCUGAUGCUACAGCAGACCCCGCUCCACCACGGAACAGAAAGUCUGGACACUGGCUUCGCUUCUAGCUCUGCUGGGAAAUGGGACUUUGCAAACCCAGAGAUGUAAUUCCACGCAAAUAAAAAUCACUCAUC